GUGGGGAAUUUUGGACAAUGGGCGAAAGCCUGAUCCAGCCAUUCCGCGUGCAGGAUGAAGGCCCUCGGGUUGUAAACUGCUUUUGUACAGAACGAAAAGGUUUCUAUUAAUACUAGGAGCUCAUGACGGUACUGUAAGAAUAAGCACCGGCUAACUACGUGCCAGCAGCCGCGGUAAUACGUAGGGUGCAAGCGUUAAUCGGAAUUACUGGGCGUAAAGCGUGCGCAGGCGGUUAUAUAAGUCAGAUGUGAAAUCCCCGGGCUCAACCUGGGAACUGCAUUUGAGACUGUAUAGCUAGAGUACGGUAGAGGGGGAUGGAAUUCCGCGUGUAGCAGUGAAAUGCGUAGAUAUGCGGAGGAACACCGAUGGCGAAGGCAAUCCCCUGGACCUGUACUGACGCUCAUGCACGAAAGCGUGGGGAGCAAACAGGAUUA
rnacentral:rRNA from 1 species